UACGUAGGGUGCGAGCGUUGUCCGGAAUUACUGGGCGUAAAGGGCGCGUAGGCGGCCUUCUAAGUCGAACGUGAAAUCCCUGGGCUCAACCCAGGAACUGCGUCCGAUACUGGGAGGCUUGAAUCCGGGAGAGGGAUGUGGAAUUCCAGGUGUAGCGGUGAAAUGCGUAGAUAUCUGGAGGAACACCGGUGGCGAAGGCGGCAUCCUGGACCAUAACUGACACUGAGAGACGAAAGCUAGGGGAGCGAAUGGG
rnacentral:rRNA from 1 species